UGUCAUAUGAUGAUACUUAUUAGCAUUCAGUUAGCAUGACUUCAUAAUUUUGUUUAGUUUUGCAUACUAUUUUGUAUGUCCUACUUAAAUCCUCAGUGGUGAAUCAUUAUCAUGUUUUUUGGUAAUUUCUACGGUAUUUAAACCAAUGUUUUAAACUUACAUUUAAUUUAUAUAUUAAAAUGAAAAUGCGCUCAAUAUAAAUUACUUAUUAUAAUUAUUAACAAGAUAUACGAAUGACAAUCAUAGAUAAGUAAUAAGGAAUAUGUAUUAUCUAUUUAGACAAUUAAGUAUUAUUAUAAAAAUGAAUAACUGUAUGGUAGGUAAUUGUUUCAAAUAAUAUUUGGCAACUGCUAUAUAACCUUUACUUUUUUGGAUAUUUUUAUUGUUGCAUAUAGCAUCUAAAUGCCACCUAAGUAUCUAUGAUUAUUACAACUUGAGAAGUUUCUUACUUAAACAUUUCUUUGGAAAAUAAACCAUUUUUCUUAGGUGAUUAAUAAUGAUAACGGUUUGUUAUCAGUAUACUAAAUAAUAUGAAUAGUAAAAGUAUAAAUAAUAAAGGAUUAUAUUCCUAAAAAUGGGAAUUUUCGUUCAUAUUAUUUUGUAUUUAUCUUAUGGUAGGUGAUUUAUUUUAGAUAAUGAGACAAUGGUAUUUUACUUCAUAUUAGAUGUUAGUACAUUGCCAACAUUUGUUAUUAGUUUAUUACUUUAGUCCAGAUUUAUAUUUUCCUAAAACUAUUAGAAAAACAUAUAAAAAUAAUUAAUACAUACUUUAUAAUAUGUAAAUUUUAGAUUCUGAGUAGAGUGAAGAAUGUAUUAGUUUUACAAUGUUUUUUCUUUUUUCUUUAUGAAGAACUUUUCUGCCACAAAUUUUUAAGUGUAGCACUUUUUCUUAUAGGAAAUCUAACUGAGGUGGUACUUUAGAGAGGUUAUUUAUUGAUUUUUAUAAUAAAUGAGAAAAACUGGAAAAUGUAUUAUUUUCAAACCGUAAAUGUUCGGAAUCAUUUUUUGUUAGCAAUGAUUAUGCAUAAAGAUAGGCAUUAAAUUUCCUUUCUAUUAUACAUUCCUAACUUUUCAUCUACAAUAGUGGCCAUCCAUUGUGCAAAGUGUCAUUUUUUGUUUAUCAAAAUGAUAAAAAAAAAAUAUGUUAGUACCUAAUGGUUGUUUGUUUCAAAAAAAUAUUUUUUUCAGAUACAUCAAAAUUAAAAUUAUAAUAAUUUUAAAUUACAAUAAAUCAGUAUUUUUUCUAAGAGUUUUCCAAAAUAUUCUCUAGUAUGAAAAAAAAAAAUUAUUCCUGUGAACUGUGUUGAACGAAUAGUCGACAAAUGUUACUCUCAUAAUACUGCAUAAUAAAUGUGGGAAAACAUACAAAUUUGGGCUCUAAUUACUAUCUACUAUAUGAAAAAUUACUAUGUAC